UGCGUAGGGGGCAAGCGUUAUCCGGAUUUACUGGGUGUAAAGGGAGCGUAGACGGCGAUGCAAGCCAGAUGUGAAAGCCCGGGGCUCAACCCCGGGACUGCAUUUGGAACUGUAUAGCUAGAGUGUCGGAGAGGCAGGCGGAAUUCCUAGUGUAGCGGUGAAAUACGUAGAUAUUAGGAGGAACACCAGUGGCGAAGGCGGCCUGCUGGACGAUGACUGACGUUGAGGCUCGAAAGCGUGGGGAGCAAACAGG
rnacentral:rRNA from 1 species